rnacentral:rRNA from 1 species
AGAGUUUGAUCCUGGCUCAGAGCGAACGCUGGCGGAAUGCUUAACACAUGCAAGUCGCACGCCCCGCAAGGGGAGUGGCGGACGGGUGAGCAACGCGUAGGAAUAUGUCCGAAGGUGGGGGACAACCCUGGGAAACUGGGGCUAAUACCGCAUGCGGGCCGAGGCCCAAAGCAGCGAUGCGCCUUUGGAGUAGCCUGCGUCCGAUUAGCUCGUUGGCGGGGUAACGGCCCACCAAGGCUCCGAUCGGUAGCCGGUCUGAGAGGACGAUCGGCCACACUGGGACUGAGACACGGCCCAGACUCCUACGGGAGGCAGCAGUGGGGAAUAUUGGGCAAUGGGCGCAAGCCUGACCCAGCAAUUCCGCGUGGGUGAAGAAGGUCUUCGGAUCGUAAAGCCCUUUCGGCGGGGACGAUGGUGACGGUACCCGCAGAAGAAGCCCCGGCUAACUUCGUGCCAGCAGCCGCGGUAAUACGAAGGGGGCUAGCGUUGCUCGGAAUCAUUGGGCGUAAAGGGCGCGUAGGCGGCGCUGUUAGUCAGGCGUGAAAUGCCCAGGCUCAACCUGGGGACUGCGCUUGAUACGGCAGGGCUCGAGGAUGGAAGAGGGCCGCGGAAUUCCCAGUGUAGAGGUGAAAUUCGUAGAUAUUGGGAAGAACACCGGUGGCGAAGGCGGCGGCCUGGUCCAUUACUGACGCUGAGGCGCGACAGCGUGGGGAGCAAACAGGAUUAGAUACCCCGGUAGUCC